rnacentral:rRNA from 1 species
GGGGGCCCGCACAAGCGGCGGAGCAUGCGGAUUAAUUCGAUGCAACGCGAAGAACCUUACCAAGGCUUGACAUGAACCGGAAAUACCUGGAAACAGGUGCCCCGCUUGCGGUCGGUUUACAGGUGGUGCAUGGUUGUCGUCAGCUCGUGUCGUGAGAUGUUGGGUUAAGUCCCGCAACGAGCGCAACCCUCGUUCUAUGUUGCCAGCACGUGAUGGUGGGGACUCAUAGGAGACUGCCGGGGUCAACUCGGAGGAAGGUGGGGAUGACGUCAAAUCAUCAUGCCCCUUAUGUCUAGGGCUGCAAACAUGCUACAAUGGCCGGUACAAAGGGCUGCGAUACCGCGAGGUGGAGCGAAUCCCAAAAAGCCGGUCUCAGUUCGGAUUGGGGUCUGCAACUCGACCCCAUGAAGUUGGAGUCGCUAGUAAUCGCAGAUCAGCAACGCUGCGGUGAAUACGUUCCCGGGCCUUGUACACACCGCCCGUCACGUCACGAAAGUCGGUAACGCCCCGAAGCCGGUGGCCCAACCCUUGUGGAGGGAGCCGUCGAAGGCGGGAUCGGCGAUUGGGACGAAGUCGUAACAAGGUAACCGU